rnacentral:lncRNA from 1 species
AUUAUCCUAGAAUUAUUAUUUAAUUACUAAGGGUUUAUUAAUAUUUUAUUUAAAUACUAUCCAAAUGUCACCAAAUUUUGUGUGAUAUCUGGAAAUGAUAUUCAGAGACUCCCCACAAAGUUUGGUGAUUUUUGGACAUACUAAUAAAUUAUUAAAAUUCCUAGAAGUUUUAUUCAUUAAAUAAAAGAGGUAAUUUUUAUACACUUGCAAACUAUCAGAAAACAGAACCUAAUAUUUUUCUUGGGUUCUACUUAUUCCAGGGAAUCUACACAAAAAUUUCUAUGAUUUUUGGAUCUACACAAGAUGUAUUACACAAAUUCAAAUAUAGCUCAAAAACUGCAUAAAAAGAAAAAAGAAAAACACUGCAGCGAGUGGCCAGAAAUCGGCCCGCAGGCUGGCCCACUCCAGCUCGGCCCACGCGGACGCUGCGCGUGCGCUGCUCCCCCUG